rnacentral:rRNA from 1 species
GACAGAGGCCUCGAGCGUUAGGCGGAAUCACUGGGCUUAAAGCGUGUGUAGGCGGACCUCUAAGUACCUUGUGAAAUCCCACGGCUCACCCGUGGAACCGCUGGGUAUACUGGGGGUCUUGGGCCACUCAGGGGCGACUGGAACAAGCGGUGGAGCGGUGAAAUGCGUAGAUAUCGAGAGGAACACCUGCGGCGAAGGCGGGUUGCUGGGCCGACACUGACGCUGAUGCGCGAAAGCCAGGGGAGCGAACGGG